UAUGGAAGAAUUCAAGCAAAACAACUGACCGGUUACUUUACUUGAUGCUACAAUAUAUCAUUCAACAUAUGCAAAACUUUGCUGAUAUAGACCAGAGGAAGAGGAAUAAACACGGUUUUGGUAGCUGCAGCUACAUUUCUAGUAGAAAAAUGAAAUCCGACCAGAUACAGGAUGUGAUGCCAAAUGAGGAGAAGCAAUCCAGUAACUACAUCAUUUUAAUGAACGAUGCUCCGAAUCAAUACAAAUGUGUGAUUUGUGAUGAAAAAUUCCCCGAAAAGAGUACUCUCAACUCUCACGUCCUAUUUCAUGAUGGCAAGCGACCACUAAAUUGUGAUAUUUGCGGGAAAAUUUCUACUUCGAAAAGUCACCUAAUCAGUCAUAUGACCGUCAAUACCAGGGACAAAACGUUCACGGGUAAUGUAUGUGGCAAAGAAUUUCAAGACAAACGAUCAUUAAAUUCCCACAAUAUUACAAAUGAAUCCACAAAACUCGAUGACAGUGAAAGAACAAAUGAACAAGUUAAAACUAAGGUCAAUAGCGAUUCAUUCGAUUCACAACCAAAUUCAUCCGAUUCUGCUAGCUGCAAUGAAGUGAAUCGAAGUGAAAUAAUAUCCUAUCAUACACAGGAUGUUAUAUCAAACAAGGAGCAACCAUCAACUAGCUCAGUAACAUCUUCCACACCGGAAAACAAUUUUUCAAAUCAGUUGAAAUGCCAGUUUUGUGAUGAACAAUUUUCUAACGAAGAUUGUCUACAGAAGCACGUUUUAUUGCAUGGGGAAACGGCACGAUUUAGUUGUGAUAUUUGCAGAAAAAGUUAUCCUUUCAUGAGAAAUUUAAGGAGACAUAUGAUCGCCCAUGCCGCAAACAAACCGUUUGCGUGUGAUGUAUGCGGCAAAGGAUUUAGUGACAAGCGAGCCUUGAAGCUCCACAACAAAAUUCACACCGGAGAGCGGCCUUACAAAUGCACGGUAUGUGAAAAAAGUUAUAUCACUAAUGUUCAACUAAGCAGACACAUGGCUACACACACGGGUGAUUAUAAAUACAAGUGUGAUGUGUGUGGCAAAGGGUUCGGAAGCACAACACAUUUAAAAGAUCACAAAAACAUGCAUACAGGAGUGCGGCCGUACAAAUGCACUGUGUGCGACAAAGAUUUUCACUCUAAACCGAAUCUUGCCCAACACAUGAACCUUCAUGAAGCGAAGCACAAGUGCACGGUAUGUGGCAAAACUUUUAUCAAUAACGUUCUACUAAGCAGACACGUGUCUUCACACACUGGUUCUUAUAAAUAUAAUUGUGAUGUGUGCGGUAAAGGUUUCGCGUUUAGAUCGUAUUUGAAAGACCACAGAAACGGUCAUACAGGAGAGUGUCCGUAUAAAUGCGUUGUAUGUGGAAAAGAUUUCGCUACUAACCGUGCCCUAACCAUUCACAAGUAUAUUCACACGUUUGGUCGACAUCAAUGUGAUAUUUGCGGCAAAGAGUACUCUAAAAAAUUUGCCUUGAAACUGCACAAACGCAUUCAUACAUCUUUUCCAAUCAAACCAACAGACCAAGAACUCGUCAUUCUGAACAAAGUGGAAAAUAUAACAAACGAAUCCACAAAACAAAACUCGAAUUCAUACGAUUCUGCUAGCUGCAAUGAAGUGAAUCGAAGUGAAAAACCAUCAACUAGCUCAGUAACAUCUUCCAAACCGGAAAACAAUUUUGCAAAUCAGUUGAAAUGCCAGUUUUGUGAUGAACAAUUUUCUAACGCGGAUUGUCGACAUAGGCACGUUUUAUUGCAUGAAAAAACGAAACGAUUUAGUUGUGAUAUUUGCAGUAAAAGCUAUUCUGCUAAGAAGAGUUUAGUCAGACAUAUGAUCUCCCAUACCACUGACAAACCAUUUGCGUGUGAUGUAUGCGGCAAAGGAUUUCUUGCCAAGCAAGCAUUGGAGUUCCACUACAAUAUUCACACCGGAGAGCGGCCGUACAAAUGCACUGUGUGCGACAAAGAUUUUUUUUCCCAGUCGAGUCUUUCCAAACACAUGCACCUUCAUGGAGGAAAGUAUAAAUGCACGGUAUGUGGCAAAACGUGUGUCUCUAACUCUGUACUAAGCAGGCACGUGUCUUCACACACUGGUUCUUAUAAAUAUAGUUGUGAUGUGUGCGGUAAAGGAUUCCCGUAUAGAUUGCCUUUGAUAGACCACAAAAACCGUCAUACAGGAGAGCGUCCGUAUAAAUGCAGUAUAUGCAAAAAAGAUUUUGCCACUAGACGGGCCAUAGCCCGACACAUAUCAACUUGUUCGGGUAGGUUAGUUAGUUAGUUAGUUAGUCUCCUUAUAUUACAUUUUGGUGAGGAAAGAGUUCCGAUCACAGCUUUACAGCUUUCAAUACGAGGAAAUUAUAUUGUUACCCAACAGUGAUUAUUAUUUAUUUAUGUUGAUUUCCUUACCUUGAGCCUUGUGUUACCUUAUCCCCAAUGGUUGUAUUCAAUGAAUUCCGUUCUUCUGUUGUCUGUUGUCAUUCUACUUUAUUUCCACUCUGUACAUUUGUUUCUUUAAAUGUAUUCCAUUUCGAGGAAUUUUUUCUUCCAUUUUCUGACUGUUUUGAACGAUUAUUAUUAUCGUUUUGAUGUGGAACACAUCUUUUUUUUAUAUACAGGUGUGCAAAUCAGAAACUCAAUGAAAAAUACACGUAGAAAUCUGGUCAGGUUUUAAACACUUACAGCUCAGUCUAUUUGGUAUCAAUUAUUAAUAUUAUUUUAUUAUUUGAUUGGAAAUAUUUCUAAAUUUCGAUGUGAAUGUAUCAAGCCACGUAUUUUCAAUUAUAAAUGAUUGAAAUUUUGAAUAGUAGCGAACAGUGUUCUAUUUUGUCUGCUAAAAACUCCGACAUAUCGGAAUUCCCUACCAUGGAUGACAGUUUUGGAGGAGUAAGUGAUAUAUCAAAGUGUAAUGUAUAAUAAAUGUUAGUUUUAAAAUGCUGAUUUCAUUCAGUGUAGGACGAGAUCUGUCAAAUGAGAUUCAAUAUAUAAAGUAUCGUUAGGAAGCUGGGGUUCCUACUUUGAACGUCCAACCAUGCAGUUUGAUCUUUUCGACUUCUCGGAAAACCCUAUCCUAUAUGGUGAGUUAUGUACCUCAGAAUAAAGAAAAGGUAGGAACAUAAUACAAAGGAAAAGCAUCGCUCUGAUUGGUCAAUUGAUGCAAAAGCGAAGCUGUUGGGACCACACGAAUCUUUGAAUAGAAGUGAAAUUAUAGCUAACGUUUCAGUCCUACAAAAAGUGUCAUAAAACGAUUUGAAGCUUUAAUUGGUAUGCUCUGAUCUUGUGUCAUGCGAGUUCGGAUGAAAUUCCAUGUUAUGUCGUUUCGCCUGAGAAAUUGCCAACUACCCAGGGUAAAUUUUGAGUGCUUAAGAUGAAUUUCUAAUUUAUAUAAGAUGAACUCGAUUGAUAAUGAGAAAAAGUUUAUCGCUUCAACCUAAAUCGCAGAAUGGUAGAGAAACCUAACGUUAUAAAAAUAACUGCUUGCAUACAAAGCUUGAACACAAGCUUGGCGAAGAGAAGCUUAAAUAUCAAAAUCGUAUCGCAAGCAUGUACAAAUAUAUAACUGGAUACAUUUAGGAUAUUGGUGUAAUUUCGUCGGCUGUUCGGUUUUGGUUCCUAAUCAAGAUCAAUUUAAGCAGACUCUCGUGCAAUUGCGAAUCCAAAAGUGUGACAUUUGAUUGAACUGUUUGAUUGUAGAUCAUUAGAAAUUUUGGUUGCGUUGUUCCACAUCAAUGGCUCGAACAACCCCAUGGGGCUGAUCCUUGUAGUUUUUAUUAUUUUUCCUUCCUUUCUUUUUCUCUCCUUUUGUGCUCUUGAUUUUAAGAAGCGCUUCUGCUUCAUUCCGAUUGUUCCUCUCAUCGACGAUGUGUCAUGGGAGCAAAAGUAAUAGAAAGGUUAAGGGUUAGUGUACUGUAUCUAAAUUAUGUGUGUUUUGCCACUCCGAAAUGUGAACAUGACACUAACGUUCAGUGAUCUAUUACGAAAUUUAUUCAGCCAUAAUAUUAACAAGAUAUCCAGCACUCACAUUUCCCGAUCAAAUCAUUCCUUUUUUGAGAGCAUGGCGCCCUCGUGAAGUUUGUCUUUGUGGAAAAUAAAUAACCCUGUUCCAGAGCUUGAUUAUUUUUGCCAGUUCUAUAAAUAUUUUCCGACAUUGUAAAACAAUCUUGCAAAACAUUUUUAUGUUUAGAUCCUGAGUAAAAUUUCCUCUGUAAUUUUUUACUCUCACAGUAAAAGAAAAUACUCCAAUAUGAAGUUUAAAUCUUUGUUUAAAUACCUUGUCAAGCAAAUUAAGUUCUUCUUGAAGUUCUUACCUUCCCAGAUAUUACUUGUUAUCAUAUCAUUUUUCAGUGCAAAAUGAAUCCAAAUAACUUUCCAUUCGUCAAGUUUUGAACUGGACCGUAGUUUUAGCUAAACAUUCCCAACUAACCAAAAGUUCGGAUAAAAGGGACUGAAUUGGCUUAAGCAGCUCUCAAAGUUCAUCAAUAGCAUUCUAAGCAGCCCAUUUUGAAAGUAAUCAUCCACACAUGAAAAUAAGUUGUUGAGGGUUGGUUUCGUAGAGUCAUUUAGUAAGCUCAAUAACAUUUGCUAUAUUCGCUCAUGAACUAAACUUCUGCUAGGUACUAAUAUUAGAUCUGAAAGUAUCAGCUAGACUUCAUACCUGUAAUGAGCAACUAUUUACCUUAAAAUCACUGUGAUAAAUAGAAGGAUCAAAAAAGGAUUUCGUCUAUGUAGUUCGUUUUAGGUUUUCCAACAGACGCCAUAUUGCGUUUGCAUCCGAGUACAAAAUGAACAUAUGGUUGACAUAAUGAAUUCAGGUAACUACGUGGCACAUGAAAAAUGUGACAACAGUAAUGAUUCUGACAUACAGUCCAUUUCAUAUUCAAUCAUGAUCCGAUGGUUGUGAAGAAACUUUUCUUCGUUAUUUGCAUAUACAAAGUUAUUCUUCUUUUUUUUUUUUUGAAUGCGCAAAAUAGUAAUUCAAAAUCGUUUCUUUUUUAACGGUUUGGAGUCAAAAUAGAAUUAUUUUGAUAUUGUUAUGUUGGGCUUUUCACUAAGCAUAACUGAAACCACAAAACAUCGAUGAUUGACGUUGAUUCAUGUUUUCAAAACCGGAUAUAGAAACGGCAAUGGAAAACGACGCUCUGAACUGCAAGAAGUAUUUUUUUCACUCAAAUGUUUAAAAACUCAACGCUUACUCUAAUGUAUGAAUGAAUGCUAGAGAACUCAUGACAACGAGUUUACUUUACUCAAAUCCAUACUCAAAUUUUGACAUAUUGUUCCAGUUUAUGAAUUUGAGUAAUCGCAACUCAAACCAUGAGUUAUGUUCAAAGAGCGUGUACGUGAUUUUUUACAUAAGAUCAGAGAUGCCAGAUAUUUUCAAAGAAAAUCUGUAUUGCUUCGUAUAAAAAAUCUGUAUUAAUCUGUAUUCACUAAUAAAAUGAAAUUCUUACAACAAAAUAAUGCCAAAAGAUGUUAUUCUAAUAGAUUGUGGUUGUAGGAUGGUAGAUUCGAUCAGUUAUUGCUGCGCUCACAAGAAUAUUUAACGACAAAACUUCAUAAUUUUUUUUAUAUUUUUAUCCACAACAAUUGAAUUGUAAUUUCAUAUAUUUAUCUAGUUUGAAAAUGUUGACUUCAUAAUUUGACAUGGAAAUUCAACGCACAAUACGCAACGUCAAGUCGGGUCAUACAACUCUCAGUUUGACAGUAAACUUUCAUGAUACCAUUACUUCCUUGAAUAUCAGUUUGAAUUGGUUUCAACAUAUAAUAUAAAUGGAUCUUACAACAGAUUUACAUAUUAAUUUGUGAUUUGUCCGUUGAUUGAAAGACUUUUAUCUCAUCACUGGAAUCAAAUACUAAAACAUAGCUCAGACAGAAAAGUUUAAUUUUUUCUUUCUUACUUUUUGUGAGAUCUGUAUAAAUCUGUAUUAAAUUGAGGAAAUCUGUAUAAAAUGUGUACUCUGUAUUAAAUCUGUAUUAGCAUGUAAAAAUCUGUAUAAUACAGAUAAAUCUGUAUAAAUGGCAUCUCUGCAUAAGAUCAACGUGUGGAUUUUUUGAGUGUAUGCAGAGGCUCUCACCCACAUUCAGUACAUCUCGGAACUAUUGGCACAUUCCCGCUUGUGAGGAAUUCUGGCAACCGUCAGUAGGCUGGCUGCAUUCCGGUAGCUGUCAACAUUGUCCAGGCGAAAUUACGUCAUUACCUCUUUUUUCUGGUCUGUUGUCUUGUUUAUUUCUCACUUCCUUAUUUUUUUCUUUUUUUAUUAUUCGAUUUCAUUUGAUAUGCGUAAAUCCCGAAUGUCCAUACAAAAAAACGAAUCUUGAGACGAGGUAAAUGAGAUUGAAAUAUGGGUAUGUUUGGUAGUGAGAGAACAAUGUUAUUGUCAAUAAUAUUUUAUAUAAUUAGUAUAUAUGAAGUGCAAUAACUGAUUGUCUUUCAUAUGUACUUUUUAUUGAAAAAAUAAAACCAAGACGCUAAAAAUGUAGAACCGAUUCAAAACGGUUCUGCCAAUCUUGUAUGGUAAGAAUCCGACAGAAACAGAACCGAUAAUAACCCCUAGGCGAAAUUCUCUGCCGGAAACGGUUGUUUUAUUGUUGCCAGACUUUUGCCGGAAUUCGUGCAGAACUCCGGCAAAAACGGCUGGCAGACAUAGCCAGCCGUCUGGGGAGAAAUCUGCCCGCCGCGUACAAGUGGGUAGUAACAGACCGGCGAAUACUUCUUUGGGAAGCCAAACGAACCGUCAAAUUCCUAUGCUACAGCAUUGUCCAAUCCACGUGCGAAUGUGUUGGUGUGGCUAUUCUCAGCAGUUGAAAUGUUAAUGCUAGUGUGAGUAUGUUGAAAUAACCCAGUGAAUUUUUUCGAGCCGCAUCGUGCCAAUUAUUGAAGACAUAUAUGCAAUAAAAAGCACUGCAAUGCCAAGAGAACAGUUGAGAAAGACAUAAAAUCGUUCAUGAAAAACUAUAUCACGUAAUGGAACUGUCUUCUGUUCAUUAGUUCAUAGCUUACGAAAUUCUAUAUGCAUUUUUCGCAGUGUAUGAUUAUGAGUCAAAAAUGUUUUACCUCAGUGUAAAAUUGAACCCACAACCAGAGAUGCCAGUUAUUUUCAUAGAAAAUCUGUAUUACGUUGAAUGAAAAAUCUGUAUAUAUCUGUAUUCACCAAAAAACCGAAUUUUGUACAAUGAAAAUAAGGUGCGGUAUUGUUAUUCCAACAUUUCUUGGUUUUAUAAUGAGAAAUUCAAUAAUAUCCGACGAAAUUAAAUGUUGGUAAAUUUUCAUCAACAAUCAGAAUCAACAAAACGCAGUUUCGAUUUCAUAUACUUUCAUAAUAUUGUCUACGGACCAACGCCAUCUGGAAGACUCAUGCAACACUCAAUUCAUCGACCACUGCCGAUCGCCAUUACGAUUUACGAGAACCCGAGAUGACAUAGUCUAAUGAUACCAUUACAGUUUUAAGUUAGUCGUUAAUUAAGAUUAGAAAAUACCCUUGGCAUCUUAGAGUCUAAGCAAUGUGCCUAAAAUUAUAUUACAUUAUUGAAUAAAAAAAAAUAGUAUUGUCUAGGUAAGUUGAUGUGGGAUCUAAGCGCUCAACUUCAAAUACCAACACCUUUUUAAGAUUUUCAGAUCAGUUUGUGAUUUGCCCAUUGAUUACGAAUUUUUUUUCUCGUCUCGAGCUACUGAAGAGAACUCAGAUGAAAAAAAUAUGUGUUCUUUCCAUUUUUUUGUGAAAUCUGUAUAAAUCUGUAUUAAGUUUAGGAAAUUUGUAUAAAAUCUGUAAUCUGUAUGAAAUCUGUAUGCGCAUGUUAAAAUCUGUAUAAUACAGAUAAAUCUGUAUAAUUGGCAUCUCUGCCCACAACAAACUUUGACUUCGGCUCGCACACAUUCUAAUUUCGUAUAUGAAUAGAUCUGCGCACUCUGCAUCGGUGUGAGUAACAGAGACGUCAAAUUGCUCAAUGGGAGUUUGACGGUUCGUUUGGCCCAUCUUGCUCAAUUCGAAUUUUUAAGCAAAAUUGAUUCGUCCUUCUUUGAAAAACAGCUGAUCUCAAGUAAGGUGACGCCAGCCAGAAAAAGAAGAAAAAAAAAUGUUUAAAUAAUUCGCGAGGUGGUCCAUAGCUUUAGAGGGAAUAGCGAAUGUUUCUCUUGUAUAUUGAAUAAAAUCACACGAAGUAAAAUGGAAUUUUUCCUUCAACGAGAUGGGAUACUAAAAGAGGAAGAACCCGAAAACAGUCCUGCAACCUUUUCCCCAUCGUCCGUUCCAACAAUCGAUUCCCCACUAAAGCUCGAAUAUGAGAUUGGUGAGGAGGGAUUCACGCAGAAUAGUGAUUUCCAUCUCAAAUAUCAAAUUUGUGAUGAAUUCACAAAGAAAAGUGAGCUUCCUCAAGACGUCUUAGUACCUGAAGUAGAACAGGUUUAUAGUUGCGAAAUUUGCGGGGAACAAUUUUCAAUGGAGAAAGUUCUGAACAAGCACAUGAUCGUUCAUACUAAUAACCAACAAUUUAUGUGUAAUGUGUGCGGCAAAGAAUUUCGGUAUCAUCAGCAACUAAAGGACCACACAAAUAUUCACACUGGAGAGCGUCCGUACAAUUGCACUGCAUGUGAAAAAAAAUUUACGUCUAAAAUGUUACUUGUUCAACAUAUGCACACUCACACAAGCCAGCGUUCGUACAAAUGCAGUGUAUGCGGAAAAGGAUUUCCAUUUAAGGGUUACCUAACUAGACACAUGUCUAUUCACCAAAGUAAGAACAAACAUAAGUGCGAAGUGUGUGGCAAAGGCUUUAAAGAGAGUGUUACCCUCGCGAGACACAAACGCAUUUAUCAUUCGAAAGAUAAGUUUAAAUGCACCAUAUGCGAAAAAGAUAUAUGUAAUAAGCGGUAUUUUAGCAUACACAUGAAAAUUCAUGCGGAUGGUUACGAGCAUAAGUGUGAUGUGUGCGGCAAAGGAUUCAUCUACAAAUCGCGUUUGAAAGACCACAAAAAUAUUCACACCGGUGAACGGCCUUACAAAUGCGCUAUAUGCGGAAAAG